rnacentral:pre_miRNA from 1 species
AGUGAAAUUGCUGGCUCAUAUGGUAAUUCUAUGCUUAACUUUUUGAGGAACUGCCAAACUUUUCCAAAGCAACUAUACCAUUUCACAUUCUCGAGAGCAAU